rnacentral:rRNA from 1 species
UACGUAGGGGGCAAGCGUUGUCCGGAAUCAUUGGGCGUAAAGAGCGCGUAGGCGGCCCGGUAAGUCCGCUGUGAAAGUCCAGGGCUCAACCCUGGGAUGCCGGUGGAUACUGUCGGGCUCGAGUCCGGAAGAGGAGUGUGGAAUUCCUGGUGUAGCGGUGAAAUGCGCAGAUAUCAGGAGGAACACCAAUGGCGAAGGCGGCACUCUGGGCCGGAACUGACGCUGAGGAGCGAAAGCGUGGGGAGCGAACAGG